rnacentral:lncRNA from 1 species
GUGGCGGCUCCCUGCCCCCGGCCCCCGCAGGACCCUGUGCUGUCAGGCACCCCCGAGACACCCCCAGGCCUCCGACCUGGAUGUUUUGGCUUCAGGAUCCACACGAUCAAAUGCCACCAAAGGCGAAGAUGCUAGAUCUGGAGGGUUCUGGCAAGCUCACCAUCCUCCGAGGCUGCCCGGGGCUGCCAGGGGCCGUGGGGUCCAAGGGAGACGCAGGCGUCGAUGGAGCGAGAGGUAGCACCCCGGGCUCGGGGUGGGGUGACCCAGAGCCUGCUCUUCUCCAGGUAGAGCCCGGGGUGGCCAUGCCCCCUGCACUUGCAGGUGGGGGCGUGGGUCUUGCCCUGCACACAGUGGGGUCAGAGCCACGCGGCUCUGCUGUGGGUGGAGUCGGAUCCUCAGGGGAGGGGCUCACAAUGGCCCGACCUCCACGGCAUCUGGGGAGGCAGUGCCCACCGGCUCACCCUGCACGGAACCCACUGCAGGAGAGGCCGGCUGUGUCCCGUGGGGACCGGUGGGACAGGAUCUCCUGGGAUGUGCCCCGUGUUCCAGGCUCUGACUAGACCAUAGGGCUCCGUGGGGGUAGCUGAACCGGGGCCCUGUACAUAGGUCAGCGGAGUCAGGGGUCAGCAGUGGACUGGGGCCGGGGCUGCAGGUGACUAUCUGGUCUCCACUUGGGCUUGGGCUUCUCCCAGGGGCUGCUCGGUGUACCCUAGGGCGGCUCUAUCCACCCUGGGGCAGCUCCGUCCACCCUGGAGCAACUCUGUCCAUCCAGGGGCAGCUGGGUCCAUCCCAGGGCAGCCCCAUCCACCCCAGGGCAGCUCUGUCCACCCCGGGGGCAGCGUUCUGAGGAUAAGUAGUGCUGGGUGGACCUUACUACUUGGGGCAAAGAGCUCACAUGGAAUCGUUGGGCUGCACCUUUGUCCACGAUGCCCAUGUCCUUGGAGUUUGCAGGAGCACCUGGUCCCCCUGGAGACCCUGGGAAGGCCAGACCACCAGGACCCAAACAAAGGUAGCAACAUGAUAAAGCGCAUGAACCCCUGUGUGAGACCCUGGGUCUGUUCAUAGAGAGAUGAGAGAGGAGCACAGACAGAGGAUGGGGUGAUGGGGAAAGAGAGACGGGGAGGGACAGAGCAGCAGAGUGACAGGGAGGGACAGGUCAUAGGUCCAUUUCCAAGGAGCCUGGAGAUCGUGU